GAUGAACGCUAGCUAUAGGCUUAACACAUGCAAGUCGAGGGACCGGCGCACGGGUGAGUAACGCGUAUCCAACCUGCCCAUAACUAAGGGAUAACCCAGCGAAAGUUGGACUAAUACCUUAUGGUUAUGGCUGGGGAUGCGUCUGAUUAGCUUGUUGGCGGGGUAACGGCCCACCAAGGCAACGAUCAGUGGGGGUUCGGAGAGGAAGGUCCCCCACAUUGGAACGGAGACACGGUCCACACUCGUAGGGGAGGGAGGAGUGAGUAACAUUAGUCAAUGGAGGCUAGUCGGAACCAGCCAAGUAGAGUGAAGGAGGACGGCCUAUGGGUUGUAAACUGCUUUGAUAUGGGGAUAGGUACCAUAUGAAUAAGGACCGGCUAAUUCCGUGCCAGCAGCCGCGGUAAUAC
rnacentral:rRNA from 1 species